AAGGAGGUGGCUCAGUGGUUAAGCGCAUUGGCUGCCCUUGCAGAGGACCUGGGUUUGAGCCCCAGCCUCCUCA
rnacentral:tRNA from 1 species